rnacentral:rRNA from 1 species
GUAGUCAUAUGCUUGUCUCAAAGAUUAAGCCAUGCAUGUCUAAGUAUAAGCAAUUAUACGGCGAAACUGCGAAUGGCUCAUUAUAUAAGUUAUCGUUUAUUUGAUAGUACUUUACUACUUGGAUAACCGUGGUAAUUCUAGAGCUAAUACAUGCUUAAAAUCCCGACUUCGGAAGGGAUGUAUUUAUUAGAUUAAAAACCAAUGCCCUUCGGGGCUCCUUGGUGAUUCAUGAUAACUUCUCGAAUCGCAUGGCCUUGUGCCGGCGAUGGUUCAUUCAAAUUUCUUCCCUAUCAACUUUCGAUGUUUCGGUAUUGGCCAAACAUGGUUGCAACGGGUAACGGAGGGUUAGGGCUCGACCCCGGAGAAGGAGCCUGAGAAACGGCUACUACAUCCAAGGAAGGCAGCAGGCGCGCAAAUUACCCAAUCCCGACUCGGGGAGGUAGUGACAAUAAAUACUGAUACAGGGUUCUUUUGGAUCUUGUAAUUGGAAUGAGUACAAUUUAAAUCCCUUAACGAGGAA